CAGUGCAGUCACCCAUAAAGUAGAAAGCACUACUAACAGCACUGGAGGGUGUAGUGUUUCCUACUUUAUGGAUGAGUGUACUGU
rfam:Myotis davidii contig39257, whole genome shotgun sequence.